rnacentral:rRNA from 1 species
AUUGAACGCUGGCGGCAGGCCUAACACAUGCAAGUCGAACGAGUGGCGGACGGGCGAGUAAUGUCUGGGAAACUGCCUGCUGGAGGGGGAUAACUACUGGAAACGGUAGCUAAUACCGCAUACCCUCGGAUGUGCCCAGGUGGGUUUAGCUAGGAGGUGGGGUAACGGCUCACCUAGGCGACGCUCCCUAGCAGGUCUGAGAGGAUGACCAGCCACACUGGAACUGAGACACGGUCCAGACUCCUACGGGAGGCAGCAGUGGGGAAGAUUGCGCAAUGGGCGCAAGCCUGAUGCAGCCAUGCCGCGUGUGUGAAGAAGGCCUUCGGAUUGUAAAGUGCUUUCGGCGGUGAGGCGUUACCCGCAGAAGAAGCACCGGCUAACUCCGUGCCAGCAGCCGCGGUAAUUC